GAUGAAGAACGCAGCGAAAUGCGAUACGUAAUGUGAAUUGCAGAAUUCAGUGAAUCAUCGAGUCUUUGAACGCACAUUGCGCCCCCUGGUAUUCCGGGGGGCAUGCCUGUCCGAGCGUCAUUGCUGCCCUCAAGCACGGCUUGUGUGUUGGGCCUCCGUCCUCCUCCCGGGGGACGGGCCCGAAAGGCAGCGGCGGCACCGCGUCCGGUCCUCGAGCGUAUGGGGCUUCGUCACCCGCUCUUGUAGGCCCGGCCGGCGCUUGCCGACACAUCAAUCUUUUUUCCAGGUUGACCUCGGAUCAGGUAGGGAUACCCGCUGAACCUAAGCAUAUCAAUAAGCGGAGGA
rnacentral:misc_RNA from 1 species